rnacentral:pre_miRNA from 14 species
UUCUGUAUGCUUCUGAAAGACCCCCGGAGCGGUGAGACCCUCACUCAAGUCUCGGGAUGACGUGACCCCCCAAGAACUCACAAGAGACC